ACGUUGUCUUCUUACUAACUCCCAGUAUCGUUAUUAUUGGUCGAAGAGGAAUACAAGAUAUCCUGUAUGCAGGUGAAGUGACUAUAUUAAAAAAAUAUAUUUAAAAAAAGUCCGUAUUGUGGUGAGAUAUUCAAAUAUUUCAAUGGAUACCGUCAUGAACUACGAAUGGACUUCCUCUAGGAAAUUUUCUGCGCAUGAAUGGACGUCGUGGGCUGAAGGUAAUAAUCCACCCCAACACGAUUAUGAGCAUGACGAUCCACCCCAACGCGAGUAUGAGGAUGACGAUGAACACGAUGAAUGGGACUUGUCGGUCGACGUGCACGACUUCAGCCAUGACAAUGCUCUUAACUAUAUGAUCGGGAUCACGGCCAUUGUUGGCGUUGUCGUGACCAGCAUCACCGCUCUCACGAUCGCCUGUCACCGUCGAAUUCGAAACAAACGAUUCAUUUUUGCCUUCAACAUCAUUCUGGCCGAUUUUCUUGUUGAUACCGUCGUUUCGCUCCAGUAUGUAGUCAUCAAAGCGCUUGCUGAUGGACGUUCAGUAAGUCAAAAGAUGGCUUGUUUCGUGCAGUAGAGUUCUUAAUGCCUGUCCUCUUCCAAAGUUCUAAUUUGGUGUCUACUGCUAAUGUUCUUCUUGUUGCCGUGGAUCAAUUCAUUGCCUUCAAAAUCGAUCCAUUUGGCACGAAGAACAUCCUCACCACCUCCCGACGUAUCAUCAUAUCUUUCUCAGUUUGGGCAGCUAUGAUCGGGCUGUCUGUUUUAAGUCAUCAGAUGCUACAAACCAGGAUGGACCUCGUGCGAAUUUGCUCAUGCAAUUUUUUCAUAAUUGUCACCGGUGUGUGCUAUGCCCUGGUAUACAGAACAAUUGCAAAAACGCCUCUUACGUCAGACGGGAGUCAGCUUCAGGAACGAAAGAAGAAGACCAAACGAGUCAUGCGCAUCUACAGUCUAAUACUGCUCGCUAGUCUGAUUCUCUAUACUCUUCCAGAUGUCAUAAUGGUCAUCGUGUACUAUAUAGGAGUUUCCUACAACACGAUGCUAUGGAUUCAGUUCAGCCGACUUCUUCCGCUCACUGUAAACACGCUCGUAAACGCGUGUAUUUACUGGUGGCGGAUGAUUGACGUUCGUGAUAUUUUCACGUGCACAUCCACCAAUCACAUGUAAAUGAUGUUCGUUGUUCCACUCUGUGCAUGAUCAGAAGAUUUUGCGCAUAAUCAGAGGAAGGCCACUGGCACUAAAGUGACAUGGUGGAAUAAAAUUUAAUGAGAUUAGUACCAACUUUGAUGUCAUGAUUAUUUAUAUAUUCUUUUAAAUUGUGUUUUUCAUUUACAUCCACAAAGAACAACAACAAUGCGUCCACGAACGACUGGUAUUUCACAGUUUGCAAAGUGCAUUGUACAGAGUGCUAUAAUAAAGCAAUAUUGACUGGCCUCGGGGAGAUGCGACCUAUAUUGCCCAAACAUGAUUCAUAUCGCCCGUGUCGUAGACUAGGGUUGUAUCAAUUUAGUGAGGGCGAUAUUUUUCAUAGUGCAUUCAUUGUUUUCGGAUCUAGCGCAUUUUGCACUACAUGAUCAGAUCCCAUGAAGCGACGAACAACCUAACGAAUAAGGGAGUAUUCACUUCCACAAAGGAUUCAUGAACACGGUUUAUGUAAUGAAAAUGACCGUUAAAUUGUCAGCGCACAACUCGGAAGUCUUUGUCGAACAUUGGUAAACUGUAUCAGCAGUUUCGUUCUAUUAAAAUUCGUAGCUGACAAAAAUUUGCAAACAAAUAUAUCGUUUGUCCAGAGUCCGGGACGAACCUGCCGUCUUAAUUCACCAAUUUUCGACAAAGACGUGUUGGUUGUUCUUUGUCAUGAAGAACAUUUGAUGAUACAUUUUCUUCGUUCAUGUAUCCGUCAUGCGCCAUGACCCCGGAGGCUAUAGUACAAAUCUUGCUGCGUAAUACUGUCCUAUCGGCUCAUAAAUGAUCACAGAAUAACAUGAUAGACCUUGGAUGGCUUUUUAUUCACGGGGUACCAGGAAUAUUUGACUUUUUUAAUAGGGCCAAUAUUGCACUGCGAAAUAUUUGAUCUUUAAAGGGGUGGUCCAGGCUGAAAAUAUUUUUAUCUUAAUACACAGAGUAGAAU
rnacentral:misc_RNA from 1 species